rnacentral:rRNA from 1 species
UACAGAGGGUGCGAGCGUUGUCCGGAAUCAUUGGGCGUAAAGAGCUCGUAGGCGGCUUAGUAAGUCGGGUGUGAAAACCCCAGGCUCAACCUGGGGACGCCACCCGAUACUGCUAUAGCUAGAGUCCAGUAGGGGAGUGUGGAAUUCCCAGUGUAGCGGUGAAAUGCGCAGAUAUUGGGAGGAACACCAGCGGCGAAGGCGGCACUCUGGGCUGGUACUGACGCUGAGGAGCGAAAGCGUGGGUAGCGAACAGG